rnacentral:rRNA from 1 species
UACAGAGGUCCCAAGCGUUGUUCGGAUUCACUGGGCGUAAAGGGUGCGUAGGUGGUGAGGUAAGUCGGAUGUGAAAUCUCCGGGCUCAACCCGGAAAUGGCAUUGGAAACUACCUUGCUAGAGGAUUUGAGGGGGGAUUGGAAUACUUGGUGUAGCGGUGAAAUGCGUAGAUAUCAGGAGGAACACCGGUGGCGAAGGCGGCUACCUGGACAGAAACUGACGCUGAGGCGCGAAAGCUAGGGGAGCAAACAGG